AGAGUUUGAUCCUGGCUCAGGAUGAACGCUAGCGGCAGGCCUAACACAUGCAAGUCGAACGGUAACAUUUCUAGCUUGCUAGAAGAUGACGAGUGGCGCACGGGUGCGUAACGCGUAUACAAUCUACCUUAUACAGAGGGAUAGCCCGAAGAAAUUUGGAUUAAUACCUCAUAACAUUACAGAAUCGCAUGAUUCCAUAAUUAAAACUCCGGUGGUAUAAGAUGAGUAUGCGUUAGAUUAGCUAGUUGGUGAGGUAACGGCUUACCAAGGCUACGAUCUAUAGGGGUUCUGAGAGGAUGAUCCCCCACACUGGUACUGAGACACGGACCAGACUCCUACGGGAGGCAGCAGUGAGGAAUAUUGGUCAAUGGACGCAAGUCUGAACCAGCCAUGCCGCGUGUAGGAAGAAUGUUCUACGAAUUGUAAACUACUUUUAUAUAGGAAGAAACCUCCUUACGUGUAGGGAGCUGACGGUACUAUAUGAAUAAGCACCGGCUAACUCCGUGCCAGCAGCCGCGGUAAUACGGAGGGUGCAAGCGUUAUCCGGAAUUAUUGGGUUUAAAGGGUGCGUAGGCGGUCUUUUAAGUCAGAGGUGAAAUCCCUACCGCUUAACGGAGGAACUGCCUUUGAUACUAUUAGACUUGAAAGAAUGUGACGUAGGCGGAAUGUGUAGUGUAGCGGUGAAAUGCAUAGAUAUUACACAGAACACCGAUCGCGAAGGCAGCUUACGAACAUUGAUUUGACGCUGAUGCACGAAAGCGUGGGUAGCGAACAGGAUUAGAUACCCUGGUAGUCCACGCCGUAAACGAUGAUCACUGGACAUUUGGCUAUUAGCUGAGUGUUUGAGCGAAAGUAUUAAGUGAUCCACCUGGGGAGUACGGUCGCAAGAUUGAAACUCAAAGGAAUUGACGGGGGCCCGCACAAGCGGUGGAGCAUGUGGUUUAAUUCGAUGAUACGCGAGGAACCUUACCAAGGCUUAAAUGCAGGACGCAUUAGAUGGAAACAUCUAUUUCUUCGGACGGCUUGCAAGGUGCUGCAUGGCUGUCGUCAGCUCGUGCCGUGAGGUGUCGGGUUAAGUCCCAUAACGAGCGCAACCCCUAUCUUUAGUUGCCAGCGAGUAAUGUCGGGGACUCUAGAGAGACUGCCUGGGUAACCAGAGAGGAAGGUGGGGACGACGUCAAGUCAUCACGGCCCUUACGUCUUGGGCUACACACGUGCUACAAUGGCAAGGACAGAGAGCCGCCAUCUGGUGACAGAGAGCAAAUCUACAAACCUUGUCUCAGUUCGGAUUGUAGUCUGCAACUCGACUACAUGAAGCUGGAAUCGCUAGUAAUCGGAUAUCAGCCAUGAUCCGGUGAAUACGUUCCCGGGCCUUGUACACACCGCCCGU
rnacentral:rRNA from 1 species